rnacentral:rRNA from 1 species
UAAUGACAGCUUUUUUGCUGUAAAGUUCUUUCGUUUAAAACGAUAAUGACGUUAUUAAAAGAAGUUUUAGUCCCGGCAAAUACUCGUGCCAGCAGCCGCGGUAAUACGGGAGGGGCAAGCGUUAUCUAGAAUAACUGGGCGUAAAGAGUCCGUAGAUUGUACUGUAAGUUAGUUGUUAAAGACUAAAACUUAAUUUUAGAAAAGCUUCUAAUACUACUGUACUUGAGUUUUUUGCAGAAAAGUAGAAUUUCAUGUUGAGGAGCAACGCCUUAAGACACAUGAAGGAAUACCUAGAGCGAAGGCAACUUUUUGGUAAAAACUGACGUUGAGGGACGAAAGUGUAGGGAGCAAACAGGAUUAGAGACCUUGGUAGUCUACACUGUAAAUUCUGAAUGCUGGAAUUUAGUACAAAAUAAUACUAGAUUGUUUUAAGCUAACGCGAUAAGCAUUCCGCCAGAGGAGUACGGUCGCAAGGCUGGAACUCAAAGGAAUUGACGGGGGCCUACAACAAGUGGUGGAGCAUGUGGUUUAAUGCGAUAAUCCGCGCAAAACCUUACCAACCCUUGACAUAGUAAAAAAUCUUUAGUUUUUUAAAUACUACACAUUUUGUUUUUUACAGGUGUUGCACGACUGUCGUCAGCUCGUGUCGUAAGGUGUAAGGUUCAUUCCCUUAACGAGCGCAACUCUUAUCUUUAUUAAAUUUAGCACUUUAAAAAAGUUUAAUAUUUUAAAUUUUUUACAAAGUUUUAAAAGAAACAGUCAAUAAUAAAGUUGAAGGAAGGUAAGAAUUAAGUCAAGUCUCUGUGGCCCUUAUGGGUUGGGCUACACACGUGCUACAAUAGAAAUUACAGAAAGUUACAUUUUAAUAUAAGUUAUCCUCCAAAAAUUUCUUCAGUUCGAAUUAUAAGCUGCAACUCGCUUAUAUGAAGUUGGAAUCACUAGUAAUCGCAAAUCAGCACGUUGCGGUGAAUAUGUAUCUUGGCCUUGUACACACCGCCCGUCACAUGCAGA